GAGUUCAAUAUUAUUUUCAAAGUAACAGAUAACUAAUUAGUUCCAUGUUUUCCCCUUGAAUAUCACCUUCUUGUUUCUUGUCAGUAGGAUGACUUUAUAAGUUGGGCCCACAAAACUAGACAAAAAAACAAUGACAGAUACUCAGAGGUCAAUCCAAUGACAUCUUUCUAUCCCUAAGAGUUGUGUGGUCUUACCAGUCAGGAAAAAUUCAAAAUGAAUGAAGGGUUCAUAAAGUUCAGUUUUUAAAGUUAGACAGGGAGAUAUUUAUACUUGAAGAAGGGCCAAAGAAAUUCAAAAUCCCAUCAAGUCAUAUAGCCAAUUACAUAGAAGUGGUCAACUUAAAGAAUUCUUUGAGUAGACAGAAAAAUUAGAUAAUUUGUGUUUCCAUUCUAAGAGUUGCAGCACACUUAAAAUCCUCUUCCUUCUUUAGGUCAUGACUUUCUUAGUAUAGCAGCUAUAAGCAGUGCUCAUUAAGUCCCAUCAAAGUUGAAGGCAAGAAUCCCAUCCUUGCCUAGUCCAAGGUCUUCUCAGAACAGAAGGAAACUGAACAAGCUGAGAAGAUGGCCGUAAAAAUGACAUAGGAUGGCUUUUUGUGAUAAGCAACAAUAAGAUGAUAUAUGGGAAAAUGCUUGGUAGACUAUGAAGCAUACCACCAAGAAUACCAUUUACUUGCCUGAAAGUUCCAUAUUGCAAUGAAGCAUCUUGUCACCGUGAGCCUACACCAAAUGUUAACAAUGUUUAUGAAGCGCUGGAGCACCACGCAUGAUUUUGUAUGGAGUUUGAGUAAGGUAUGCUCCCAGGAUGUGGGAAUGAAGAAAGUUGCUCAUCCAGGAUUCGUAGCAAUGGAAAGGCAAGAACUGAAAAUGUGACUACAGAGACAUGGUAAAGCUAACCUAGGUUUUAGGGGGGAAAGGAUGAUCAGCAUUCCUCCAAGAAUGUAGUAAUGUCUCAUCUCUCUCUCGCUCUCUUACUCUCUUUCUCUCUCCUCCACCCUCGCUCUCCCUCCCCACCUCUCAUACAUACAUACACACACACCAGGUUUGAUUUAAGGCCCAACCUUAAGCAUGCACAGUGUGA